GUGACUGCAGAGCGGCGGCCGGAGGAGCGGCGGGGGCCAUGGCGCAGCGGCUCUUCCCCCUGCCCAGGCAGCAGUCCCUCUACCCGCCCAGCGUCCGCAACCCCUUCGUGCACGAGGGGCGCCUGAGCGCCCGCGACAAAGCCCGGACUGUCCUGUUGGGGCUUAUCCUGCUUCCAUUUCGUGCCAUAUGUAUUGCAUUAAUUUUGCUGCUAGCAUGGCUAUUUGCAGCAAUUGUGACUUUCUGCCAUCCUGGAAGAGGGUCUGUGCCGCUCAUGGGAUGGAAGAGGAGAGUGACCCAGUGUGCCCUCCAGUGCUUAGGUCGUGUUAUGUUCUUCUUGAUGGGCUUCCAAGUUGAAGUGAAGGGGAAAGUAGCAGGUCCCUUGGAAGCCCCAAUCCUUGUUGCAGCUCCUCACUCAAGCUUCUUUGAUGGAAUUGUUUGUAUCCUAGCUGGAUUGCCAUCGUUCGUAUCCAGGUUAGAGAACCUGUCGGCCCCAGUAUUUGGCACAAUUCUCAGAUCCCUCCAGCCAGUACUGGUAUCACGUCUAGACCCAGAUUCUCGAAGGAAUACAAUCAAUGAGAUAACUAAACGAGCAACAUCAGGAGGCCAGUGGCCACAGGUACUGAUUUUCCCAGAAGGCACCUGUACAAAUCGAUCUUGUCUGAUCACCUUUAAACAAGGAGCCUUUAUUCCAGGAGUUCCCGUGCAACCGGUGCUGCUCCGAUAUCCAAACAAACUGGAUACUGUGACCUGGACAUGGCAAGGCUAUUCAUUUGAAGCAGAUAUGGCAGUGAAAUUCUUAACAUUUUGGUUUCCUUUUUCUUUUGGACUGUCAUUACUGAAAAAUCACAGCAAAGAACUUUGUGUGAUGACUUUUUGCCAGCUGUUAACGAGGGUAGAAGUUGAGUUUCUACCUGUCCAUGUUCCUACAGAGGAAGAGAAAAAGGAUCCUACUCUUUUUGCCAACAGAGUCCGUAGUACCAUGGCAAUGGCUUUGAAUGUGCCAGUUACAGACCAUACUUUUGAAGACUGCAGACUUAUGAUUUCAGCAGGACAGCUGACCUUGCCCAUGGAAGCAGGACUGGUGGAGUUUACCAAAAUCAGCAAGAAACUGAAUCUAAAAUGGGAUUCUAUCCGAGAUCAACUGGAUACAUUUGCUGCUAUUGCAAAUACCUCCAAAGGGGGAAGAAUUGGAAUGGAGGAGUUUGCCGAGUACUUGAAGCUGCCUGUCUCAGAUGUUCUCAAAGAGCUGUUCCUACUCUUCGAUAGGAAUGGAGAUGGCACCAUAGACUUCCGAGAAUACGUGAUUGGUUUGUCUGUUCUUUGUAACCCUGCCAACACAGAAGAGACUAUUCAGAUGGCAUUUAAGCUCUUUGAUGUUGAUGAUGACGGCAGCAUAACAGAAGAAGAGUUUGCUUGUAUUCUCCGGUCAUCUCUUGGCAUACCUGACCUUGAUGUUUCUCAACUCUUUAAGGAAAUAGACACAGAUAAUUCUGGGAAGAUCGCCUAUAAUGAGUUUAAGGACUUUGCAUUCAAGCAUCCAGAAUAUGCCAAGUUAUUUACUACGUACCUAGAGCUACAGAGGUGCCAGCUACAGACAUUAGAUGAAGAAGAUUAUCAGACACCAGAAGACACAUACUCACAGAGUAAGACAUCAGUUUCAGAAAAGACUCCAAUCGCAAGAAAUAAAGUCGGUCCUGAAAGCAAUGAAGAAGACAUCUCAAGUACUUCAGACAAAAAGGAUGACUAACAGGACCUAGAAACGCCACCUGAGACUGAAAAGCCACUGGACUGGCAUUGUAUCAACACACAGUGAAAGAUUCUCCCUCCCCUGAAGAGUUUACAAACAAGGCAAAGAGAGAGAAGAGAAACAGAGUCACAGAGUGGCUAAGUAUUUGCCUGAGGUCACACUGCAGGUUAUGGGCAGAGCUGGGAUUAAAAGCCAGAUCUCUUGAUUCUUGGUUCAGGGUUCUACCCACUAGACCAUGCUGUCUCUCUGAAACUCGAAGAAAUAAUCGAACUCUGACCCCUCUAAACGUGGGGUAAGUUCAGCAUGAGAUCAAAACCACAAUGCGCAAGGAGAGAGCAGAUCAAAUAGAUUAGAUUGUUUAUGCCAAGAGGGUGCAUGGUUUUGCCUUAUAUGCUACUUUGAGCAUCAGUGUUUCUCUGUUUAAAUGCCUGCCCUUCUCACCUGCAACUGUCUCUGCUUUGCUUGCCACCUCGAGGCAUUUCCAGUUCAUCAGAGACUGAUCCUGUCCACUGUGACUGCACUAUCUGAGAUAUUGCACCCCAGAGUCUCUGCACAGUUCAUGUCGGCUCCGUGCUCUGGCAGGCAAGUGUCUAAGGAAUGUAUCACAUGCCCAUAGAGUCCAAUCUGAUUUUCAGUGAAGUCAGUGUUGGACUUUCUAUGGGGAGGGUUGGACUGAAAUCAGUCUCAUGUUAGUUCAUUUCUCAACCUGUGGUGGGGUUUAUGAAUUCAAAUAAUUUCAUGUCAGUCAAACCCUUCUGCCUUUUCUCCUCAGGUAUCCUUGCUAUUUUCCCCAUACAGAGUCCAUCUACCUUUCUUCAAAGACUCAGACUCUAAGUCAUUGUUUUCUAAGUUUGUUAAUAUUUUCCUGCCCAUCUCAUAGAAGAACCUGCCAAGAGAAAUAUCUCAGCUGGAAAACAAAGAAGCAGAACUUGGCAUGCAUUCAUCCCAGUUUGGGUGGAUAAAUAAACAGUAGAUCAAAUAUUGGUGGCGGGGCGGGGGAAACUGUUUAUUCCUAGCGGGUUCAUUUCUUACGCACACAUCUCUCCCACAGCAUGGGGACAAGCACGUCCUAUGAAGUGUGCACCACUGCACCUGGGAAAGGGCUAUUGCUGUCAACUGGACAACACAUUCUCUCUUACAAAAUUGUAUUGUACUCUGCAUGGGCCUACAACUUAAAUCUACCUGGAAACUGCAGCUGAUACAGAAAGUGACAACUCAGGGGAGAAAAAUAAAUCCAUCCAUCCAUUCUCUGAAGGGCCCUAUAAGUUGACAUUUCAUGUAAGUCCCAGAAGAGGCCUCAGAUCUUCUUGCCUAGGCAGAGUUUGGAGUUAUUGCAGCAACUAGCAAUAUAUGGGAACUGAAGAUGUGUCUGAUCCAAAAUGCUGAAGCUGAAUGCACCGCAGCUUUGGAAAUCCAGUUUUUGUGCCUCAGGCCAUUUCCUAGUCUGAAGAUAUCUGCUCAGCACCUCUGUUUGUUUUGUUCAGCUUUUCCUUAAUAAAAAUGAAUGAUCAAUUAUAAAACAUUUUGCCAAAGCACUGAUUAGAAGGAACUGAAGCAACUAGCUGUUGACUGAGACACAUCUGAAAAAAUAAAAGAUUUGGAAGAAAAGGAAAAGAGGAGAGAAAGACGCAAAGAAGGGGGAAGAGGAAUGAAUUAGAGUGAUAAGUAUCAAUAUGUAUUAAUCAGUUCACAGGAUAGAGGAAUAGUGCUUUGUUGUUACAUUAUUAAGUGCCUCUUAUGUAGGUUUGGAAGAAUGAUAUUUUUAUUGUAAAUGUCAAUAAACAUCGAUUUCACCAUUCACACAUAAAUCAAUGAAAAAAAUGUUUCCAUCGCUAAUAAUCAAAACGUGCAGACAAAGAAGAUGCUUUGCGAGAAUUUAUUAGAGUUUGAUUUAAGGCUGAUUACUUUGUAUACU